rnacentral:rRNA from 1 species
AUGGCGCCGACUCGGAAGAAGCGCACCUCCUCCGCGGCCGCGGCGGCCGCCGCCGCGGCCCAGUGGAAGGUCGGCGACCUCGUGCUCGCCAAGCUCAAGGGCUACCCGGCCUGGCCGGCCAUGAUUAGCGAGCCGCAGAAAUGGGGGCUUCCUUCAACUAAAAAGAAGUUGCUGGUCUACUUUUAUGGAACUAAAGAGAUUGCUUUCUGCAAUUAUGCUGAUCUUGAGGCGUUCACUGAAGAGAAAAAGAAAUCUCUACUUGUUAAACGACAUGGGAAAGGAGCAGAUUUUGUCAAAGCAGUUAAGGAAAUAGUGGAAAUUUUUGAUUCUAUGAAGAACGAGGACAAUAAUAAGAGUGGUUUGGCCCCUGCCAACAAUAGCAGCAGUUUGGACACUGGAGGUCCUGAAGAAGGUUCUGAUUUGGCCAAUGACAACAAGCUCGAGGGUAAUCCUGCCUCUUCCAUGGAUCACAGCAUGGCCAGUACCCCUGGGUCUAAUAUUGCUGCAUUGGAGAGUGAACACUGUGUUGUGAACUCUGCACCUGAUGAGCCUGCUAGUUCAUUUUCAAAGAAGAGGAGAAGUAAUACUCUGCAACUAGGUUCUUGCACUCACCGUGAUCUUACUUCCCCACGGAGGCCAAGAAGUUCAUUAGGUGCUGAUCAUAGGACUCGGGAUUCUUGUGGGCCGAAUGGUCUCAAUCUGCCUCCUGUUGAUAUGACCACUGAUGAUAGGCAGGAAGGUUCUUCUCGGCGUAAAUGUAUAGGUGAUGACAAACCUAAAUCGGAUCUCCUUUCAGCUACAAAGGAUGUUAUGCUGUUCAAUUGCGGUCAAGGCACCUCAAGUCAAUCUGGAGCUUCUCUGAAUGGUAAUUAUGAGAACAAUUCGAGUUCUGCUGCAAAUAUAGAAAGUAAUCUUAAUGUUGAAGUAUGUCAAACUGUCAUGGGCAAAGAAGAUAAUCUUGAUGGGACACAAGAUCUUUCCACGAGCACAACAGUUACUUGUAAAAGAAAGCGAAGCCCGGACACCAAUGAUGUUAAUAAUUCUAUUAGCAGCGUGGUAGCAAAUAUGGAUGAAGAAUUGCAGCCUAAUUCAAGUGGAAACCUGCCAGAUUCUCCAAAUUCAGGGAAUGAAGUCAAUAAGUCAGAUGGAGAUGACCACUUGCCUUUAGUAAAAAGGGCACGGGUUCGAAUGGGAAGACCCCAGCUCGAGGACUCCAUGGUUGAUGAGCUUGAUAUUUCUGAUAACAAAGUAGAGUUGGCUAUACCUGUAGAUGAAUGUUAUAAACAUGACUUGUCUUCAUUAGUGGGAAAAGAUCAUCCAGCUGAUGAUGUCCCCUAUCGCAUAGAUCCUUCACCCAAAGUAGACACAUCGCUGGCAUCGGGAAAUGAUCAAUCAGCUGAGGAGGUGCUUCCUGGCAUAGAUCCUUCACCCAAAGUAGACCCAUUGCUGGCAUCGGGAAAUGAUCAUUUAGCUGAGGAGGUGCUUCCUGGCAUAGAUCCUUCACCCAAAGUAGACCUGUCUGCAUCAGGAGAAGUUCAGACUGCUUGCAAGGACAAAGAGUAUCAAUCAAAGGUUUUGACGUUAGAUGGAGAAGCUGCUUUACCUCCAUCUAAACGUCUCCAUCGUGCCUUAGAGGCUAUGUCUGCUAAUGCUGCUGAAACUACAAGUAAUCCGCCUGAAGUGAAUAAGGCAAAGGAGUGUAUCCUGAAGCCUUGCACAACGUCGAUAGGAAGCUCUCCUUUUAAUAACUCUGCAGAUGCACUUGUCAGAAGUCCAAGAUCUGCAACAACUAAAGGCCCGGAAAUAUGUUCAACUGUACUUUCUUUAGAUACCCCAACUGGCCUAAAGUGUAUGUCACAACCAUUCAUAUUAAACAAGGACUCCCCGUCUUCUGUUUCAUUGGAAUUGACAAACGGUGGCAAUCAUGAUCUUCCAAAAGACAAAGUUCACACCAGGGAUGAUGAUGAUAUCUGUGGAAAUUCUCCAGCCUGUUCCUUGGAGUUGAAAGAGCCUGUCUUUGUAUCUAAGUUUGAUCAGUUGCCUGUGGGGAAAGUAAGUACAAAUGAGCUCCCAGAUCCAAUUGGUAACUCUGGUCGAGAUUUUAGUAAAAAUAUUGAUGGAUGUGCUUAUCCACUUAGCCAUGCAAAGACUGUUGUGUCAGGUGCUAAUCACGAUUCCAAUUCUGAGCCACAAAAUAAGACAGUUUUGGCUGAACCAACAGUCAGUGUGGGUGACAGGACAAGUGCCUCUUUGUUGGUUACUAAAGUUACAUGCAGCCAGAAUGUUGCAGGCGCUCGAACAUUUGAAGUGCAUGGUUCUUCAGCAACGGCACUGAGAGAAUUCGACCACAAAAUUAACUUGAAGGAUAUUGGUUUAUCUCCUGACCCGAUGCCUAUGAAAGGACUUAUUGCUGCUGCACAUGCUCAGAAAUUCUCUCAACCAACUUCUUUCAUAGACAGUUUUUUAGAUUCCAAUGUUAUUUCUGAACCUUCGGUGAAUAUACCUUCAGUUAAAGAAGGAUCAGGUGGCCGGUGUUCACCUUCAAAUACUAUAAUAAGGUCUGCAUCAGAUAGGAUUCAUACUCCACAGACUAGUGGUAAGAUUCUUUCAGAUAACAUACAACAAAAGAGCUUGAACAAACCAGCAGGUCAUGAUGAAGCCAGGUCAGCACGGAGGGCCUUUGAAAAUUUCCUAGGUACAUUAACAAGAACAAAAGAAUGUAUAGCCCGUGCAACACGUCUCGCUCUGGAUUGUGCUAAGCAUGGCAUUGCUGGGGAGGUAAUGGAUGUCAUCAUCGAACGCCUGGAAAAAGAAUCAAAUUUAUACAAAAGGGUGGACCUGUUCUUCCUUGUUGAUUCAAUAAUCCAGUGCUGUCGCAAUCAGAAAGGUGGAGUUGGAGAUGCCUAUCCUUCUCUUAUCCAAGCAGUCCUGCCACGAAUACUAUAUGCUUCUGCACCUCCUGGAAAUUCUGCAUGGGAGAAUCGAAGACAAUGUCUUAAGGUUUUGAAACUCUGGCUUGAGAGGAAAACCCUUUCAGAAUACAUCAUUCGUCAUCAUAUUAAGGAGCUUGAGGCUCUUAAUGAAGCAUCAUUUGGGACCUCUCGUCGUCAUUCAGGGACAGAGAGAGCUCUGAAUGACCCUUUACGGGAUAAUGAAGGAAUGCUUGUUGAUGAAUAUGGAAGCAAUACUGGUUUCCAUCUUCCAAAUUUGAUCUGCGUGAAACUGCUUGAUGAGGAAGGAAGCUCCUCCGAGGAUAGGAGCUUUGAAGCUGUCACUCCUGAACAUGAAUCUACUGGUGCUGAGCAAGGGGAGGGUUCUCAAUUGGAUGGUGCAAAGCAUCGACUUGUCUUUGAAGAAGUGAAUGGUGAUCUUGAGAUGGAAGAUGUAGCCCCAUCAUCUGAAGCGGAAGCUAGCUCUGCAUGCCAACCAGAUAUAACAGUUGCGAGGUGUACACCGACUAGUCAAAAUGUUGAUUCUGUUCCUCCGCUACCUGAAGACAAACCUCCAACUCCUCCCCCGUUGCCAUCAUCUCCACCACCUCUACCACGCCCUCAGUGUCCUGUCAUUCAAGGUUCACAGGUUCAAGGAGCAUUGCAUGUGGCACCUGAUCGAGUCGAGCCAGAUACUUUAAGAAAUGUUCAAGAUCAGCACCCUCAUUCUAUUGCAAAUAAUCGAGGCAACAUGGAUCCUUGUGCGGUUCCAUUCCAGCCUCCACCGCCCUAUACUUCUGGGUGUGCAGGGCAUCCAAACCAGAUGCAUCCGCCGCCACCGCUGCCUCCACCGCCGCCUCCACCACCUGCCGCACCUUUCCAUCCUCCUGGACCCCAUGGAAAUUUUUCUGGGCCCCCAGUACCGCCCCACGGAAAUAACUAUCACCGUCCACCAGCACCACCACCUCCGAAUAAUGCAUACCAUUUGCAGCCACCACCACCGCAUCCACCACCACCGCAUCCACCAGGUCCGAAUCAGUUCCCAUAUAUGCCACCUGAACACCAACAAAGAGCACAACCUUGGAAUUGUAAUCCUCCCUAUCCUGAGGGAUAUCAGUACAAUGGACAUGACAGAGGGCACCCUCCAUACGAUAGGAGACAUCACUUUGAUGAUAGAUGGCAUCACUUCGACGAUAGAGGGCGACGCUUUGAUGAUGGAGGGCAUCAUUUCAAUGCCGGAGGGCAUCAUUUUGACGAUGGAGCAUAUCACUAUGAUGAUAGAGGGCAUCACUUCAAUGACAGAGGACAAAUGCACCAUGAAUCUAUGGAUAGAGGGAGGUUUCCUCCACAUUUUGGACCAGAUCCCCCGUACCCUGACCAUUUUGAAGCUUCAUCCUCCCACCGUGGGCGACCAUCGGACGGUCCACCUGGUCCAUGCACCGACUGGUCGAUGCCGCCUAGGAGAUCCAAGUAUCCUCCUGGCUCCAGACAUUCAAUGGAGCCUCCAAUGUCCCAUGAAGGAGGUUGGAGGAGGCACGGAAGACACAAUAAUGAUAGGUUCCAUAGAUGA